AUUAGCUCAGCUGGUUAGAGCAAAUGGCUCAUGACUAUUCGGUCNCAGUUCGAGUCCUGUAUGGUCCA
rnacentral:tRNA from 1 species